rnacentral:rRNA from 1 species
GGUGGGACGGAAACCCGGCGACGGUGGUUACCGCUUAUUAAGCGAGAGGGUGGUGGAGGAGGAGGGCGAGCGGCCGCUGCUGCUGGGGCGGCGGAGGAGGAGGCGGGAGUGGAAGGGGAGGAAGACCGGCGGGAAGGGGAGGGAGGAGAGGCUGAGGCUGAGGCUGCGGCGCGGGAAGAAGGGAGGGGCGGCGUACCUGGCGACGCAGCGGCGGGCCGUCCUCUGGCGGCGCCGCAAGGAGCCGGAGCUGAAGGUGCUGCUCCUGAUGCCGCGGCUGACCCGCCACCGCGGCCUGCUCGGGCCGGACGGCGAGACGACCCUGACGGACGUCGACCUCCUCGUGCUGCGCGUGGUCGCGACCCUGGAGCGCGACUCGCUGCGGCUGCUCACCCUCGUCCAGCGGCGGGCCCCGGUGCUCCUCCGGGUCGGGGGGCGCGGCGCCUCGGAGCUCACCCUCCACGAGGAGCGGCGGUUGUUGGACCCCUCGGAGAACUAGCUGCUCCUGCAGCUGCUGCAGCCGCAGCCCCCGUAGCUCUGCAUAAAGGAGCUGCCGCGGCUGCUGCUGCUGUACGACAAGCCCGUCUACCGGCGCCUCCGCCUCGUGCUCCGGGGCCGGUUCCCGCCCGCCCGCCGGCGCUUCCGGCGGCACCUCCCGGAGGGCUGCCACCACCAGCGCCAGGCCCCGACGCGCGUCACGCGCCACACGUUCCUGCCGUAGCUCCGGCCGCUCCCCCGGGCCUCCGACGGCACGCGCGUGGAGAUGGUGCUGCGGACGUAGGACGGCACCGAGCGGUAGGCGUUGUGGACGGGCGACACGGCGGUGCUCGACGGGUGGCUGCUGGGGCUCAUGCUCUUCACCUUCCGGUCCGCCCGGCGGCCGCUACGGCUACGGCUACGGUUGCCGCUGUCCAAGCCGUAGCGGCGGCCAGUAGGACGACUUACUACUGAUUUCUCUAGUCAUUAAACGAAGUACCUAAUCCGUAACACCACGGCCAUGUAAACGCCAUCGAGCCACACAACGUCUUUAAGAAAAACUAGUACUUCCCCUCGCCGUACUUUAGCUACACUUAACCGCCCCAAAAAAAGUAUGUCUUACUAUGCUUAUUCC